AUGGUAGAUGGAGACUCACCCCUCCUCCAAAUCUGUCUUCAACUGGGCAUGAACUAGAACCUAGAAAUUCUGUCAUAUAAGUUUGGCCAAGGAUGAGGCCUAGACAGAUCUAGAGCUAGAGUUUAACCUCUGUGACAUGAAAUCUAGAUAAAGUGUGGGAGGUGACCACAUUGGUGACCAUGUUGGUGACAACAUUGUUGAUGACAUUGGUGACUAUGUGCAAGAAUAAGACAGAGAAGAUGGACGUAGUCUGGGGAUAUGCUGAGAGCCCUGUGCUUCUUGACGCCUACUGGAUAUAUGAUUGGUGACUGAAGACCACCUGACAGAGAAGACAUUCUUUCAUUAAGAAACAGAGAAGGUGAGGAACAAAGUACUGUGUGAAAAAUCUGAGUUUGGGGCCCGGGCACUCAGAUUCUCAUUUUGAUGGUGCUAGGAGCUAGAUUGGUGGCCCGUGAGGCUACUCUCUGUAUCUCAAUGUUCCCAUCUGUAAUAUGGGACCAAAAAUAACGAUGCCUCAUGAGGUUCCCAAGAGGAUUAACCAAGGUCUUCUAUGGUAAGUAUUCAUUAGAUAGCCACUCUUAUAAAGGGAAGCCAUCCCAGCAGCUCCAGAUUUUGCCUAGACUCCACUGCAGAAGGCAGUGCUGGGGGCAGACAGAGUAUGAUGCUGGUCUCUACAACCUUACAAGGUCAUUCUGGAAGAAUCUGAUUCAACCUUCCUUAAUUUAAGGGGGCUAGAACGACAAACAAGGUGUCUCGACACAGGUGUGUGGGUGUGGCCAUAGAGCCAAGGAAAUGUCAUGUGAAGCCUGCAGCCUGGACUCCGUGGCUUGUGGCCAAUGGACACCCACUCAGGGACCCAGAACUGCAGGCUUUGUGAGGCAUUUCUCAGGCAGUUGUAAUCAGCAUCCUCUCUGCUCUGGUGACUGAAGGAAGAGGUGUCUGUGAGGUGGCAGAUGGAUUGCACAUCUCUUCUAGGGGAGAACAAUUUCUGGGCCCUUAGUGAACUUUAACUAUUUUUCUUCUCCUGAACACUCAUCUCCUUAGCGUGCUCUCUCUUUGUUUCUUCUCUGGCUGAGCUCAGCCCCAGUGUCUCUGCUUAUGGGUGUUCCCCUCCCCCCACCCUCUUCCAUCUUCCCUGGUUCCUAUCCGGGGAUAGGCAGUGAUUGAAAUUAUUGAUUCAAUCAGUUUAUUCUCCUGCCGAGUUGCUUCAGAGCUGGAUCGCUGAUUCAGGCUGGGCCUCAGCACAGCCCACUGGCUGCCUCUGCUUAAUGCCAGGGGCAAUUGGAACCGCAGAACCUCCUGGAGUGUCAUCAUCGAUGCAGACCUGAGGACUUGACUGUGAAUGGGCUUGCUGUUUCAGCGGCUGCUCCUGAAUCCCAGCAAAGACAUGCACUGUGCCAGCUCUUUAGGUUUGGUCUGGUUUGCUUUGAAUAUCACAAACAGUGAGACAAGCCUGCUGCUCCUUAGAACUUCAGCUGGAGAAGCUCAAUCAUGAAUGCACCCCCUGCAUGAGAACCAACUUUGGAUUUGUAUGUCAGACUAAACCAACACUUCCAUCUUGGAUUUCUUCACAUCUAAGUGCAGUUUGCCACUCUCUGGAAAAUGCUCGGUCUUGGUUUUGCUCGCAGACAGUGGUAAGUAGGGCAAAAAUAAGAUAUGGGGAGGGAGAGAUGAUGACGUGUCUGCUACAGAUGCAUGAGAGCCUGGAUGCCCAGCGUACAUGCACAGAGCCAGGGUUGGCAGUGUGCACCUGUAAUCCCAGAGCUGGGCAAAUAGACAGAAGGAUGAUGGAUCCCUGGGCUUACUCGCCAGCCAGUUUAGAUCAGCCGUGAGCUCUGGGUUCAGCCAGAGCCACCAUCUAAAAGAAACAAGGCAAAGAACAAUUGAAAAGGACACUAGAGAUUGACCUCUGGCCUCCAUAAGCAUACCUGUGGGUCUCCACAGUGUGUUCAUAACAUGAAUGCAUGCACGUGUGCACACACAGUCACAUACACAGAGAUACUCACACACACAUAUAUAGACACAUACAGACACAUGCACAGACACACAAACACACACAUACACACAUAUACAAACACAUACAGACACUCUGAGGUAGGUACUGUCAUCCUCUUUUAAGCACGAGGUGACUUUGACUUUCUCUAGGACACAGCAGACCUAGUUGGUGGUGGAUCCACACGGACUGGCACGUUCCAGAACUUUCUCACGUAAAAGCCUCUGGAAAUCCAAAUAUUUACAGUCCUGCACAGAGAAGAAACUUAAGGUGGUGAACGUAAUGAAUAUCCAGCCCCAUGGAAUUAUAGGAUGGACAGUUUCCCCGGCAGAUUCAACAGUGGUCACGAUAAGAAUAAUCAAUACAAAUUAGGGGACAGGCUUCUGUUUUAAUGCACUUAGUAACCAGAUCUCUCAUCCUCAAAUAAGUCCAACAGAGGACCACGAGCUCCUAAGCGCUGUUGUGUAGGAGUGUGUGUGUGUGUGUGUGUGUGUGUGUGUGUGUGUUCCCUUUCCUCUGAGGGAUUCUAUAACCCCCUUCAUUCUCCGCCUCUCUCAUGUUACAGAAAGGAGGUAAUUUUUCCUGGCCAUUUACUAAAGCUCAUUAAAGACUGACGAGAACAAACAAUGGUACUCCUCAGAGACGACCAUUCAAAGUCACUCUACAAUUCUGGGUUCUAAUACUUGAGACAAAUUAAUUAUUCCUUAGUGAAAAGUAUAUAAUUCCUAUUCUUCAUUUUUGGGGGGCGGGGUGGGGAAUAAUAAUGGGGGGUUUCUAUCUGAGUGAAAAGCUGCCCGUGCUGAAGGGAAAUAAGGAAAAAAAUGUGCGUUCUGAGAGGGAGCCAAAGCAAUUAUUCUGAUAAUAAUUCUAAGAAUAUUAAUGUCUUUUAAAAGUAGAUUGCCUUCAAAUAAACACGGAGGCUGAGGCAAUGGGAGGCUGGUUUAUUUAUUAAUCACUCCAAAUGUGCGUCCUUCUAAAUGAACAACUGCAUGAUCAACUUCGCCACACAUAUUCAAUUUAGCUAAGCAGCAACUGGCAAAUGUCUCAAAACUUUUGUAACCAGAGACUAAUUUGUUUAACACAUUUAAAAUGUUAUAUUGAUGUAAAGCCCUACAUAUUAAACUUCAAAGGGAAAA